rnacentral:rRNA from 1 species
CCUACGGGACGCAGCAGUCGGGAAUAUUGCGCAAUGGAGGAAACUCUGACGCAGUGACGCCGCGUGCAGGAAGAAGGUUUUCGGAUUGUAAACUGCUUUAGACAGGGAAGAAACAAGACAGUACCUGUAGAAUAAGCUCCGGCUAACUACGUGCCAGCAGCCGCGGUAAUACGUAGGGAGCAAGCGUUAUCCGGAUUUAUUGGGUGUAAAGGGUGCGUAGACGGGAAAACAAGUUAGUUGUGAAAUCCCUCGGCUUAACUGAGGAACUGCAACUAAAACUAUUUUUCUUGAGUGUUGGAGAGGAA